GGAAGGACUGUAGCUCAAUGGUAGAGCAAUUCCUUUGCAUGCAAAAGGCCACGGGUCCAAUCCUUGUCAUCUCCA